ACAGUGCGCAUGAUUUUUUUAGGAAUCAACCUUUUUAGUCUUGUCAUUACUCCAACAGCUCUAGACAGUUUUAGUUUAAGGGAGUUGAUGUGGUCAUCCCAUUUAAGCCUAUUAUCAAUGAAUAUACCAAGGUAUUUAAUAGAGUCGCGUACUUUCAAACUGACACCAUUUAGAGUGAAAUUAGGACCAGGUGCAUGUUUAUUUAUAUUACAAGGAUGAUUAAUUAAUAGAACUUGUGUUUCUCAGGAUUUAUAGCUUAAUUUAUUAGAUUUUCAUCCACUGGGAGACAUUUAGUAGGUUUUGUUCAACUUGACUGGUCAAAUCAAUAACACUGGAGGAUAUUGACGUUGUGCUCGUGUCGUCAGCAAAAAGUUUGACAAUUGCUGAAGUAGUGUUCACCACAUCAUUAAUGUAAACAAGGAACAGAGUCGGGCCAAGAACUGAGCCCUGGGGCACGCCGACAGAAACAAGUUCAUGAGGUGAUUCAUUGGCAGAGAAUGAGACAAAUUGAUAGCGAUUGCGCAGAAAAUUUUGAAGGCGACUCAGCAUCAACUUUUCAAAAACAAUAGAGAGACAUGACAGUAUGGAAAUGGGUCGAUAAUUGGAUACCUCGUCCUUUUUUCCAGAUUUAUAUACAGGAACAACUCUGG